rnacentral:misc_RNA from 1 species
UCGGGUUCUUCAUACAGCCGCGAGGUUCAUCAAACCCCCGAAAUAUUCUAAUGCGCCAGUCGCACGGUGUUUCCGCGAGUUUUCCCCGCCGGGCCCGUAGCAGGAAGCGUGGCCGCGUGACAUCGGAUAACGAACGCGUACCGCGUGUCGCUUUUGCCGCUCGAUUCGGACGGACGAUUGGAUCGUUGCGGUGUACGCGUUGGUGCGCGAGACUCCCGAAAUUACCGCGGAGGAAGGAAACGUGGAGGCAUCGUGACUACGUGUGCGCUCUCGUACAUGAGUACACGUGUGCGUGCGUGCUUGCGUGCGGGCGCGUGCAUGCGUGCGUGCCAGUGGUCCCGCUUGGCCGAGGAGUACGUUCGCCUCCGUCGUUUCUCCGCUCGCGUUACACCAGCAUUUUCCUCGUUCGGCUCUCUUCCUUUCUUUCUUCGCACUCUCCAUUCUCCUUUCUCCCCUUUCUCUGUCUCCCGUGACCGUUGCUCCAGCACUCUACUCGUCACCUCUUCUCGGGCGCACCGUGCACGCUUCGAGACGCUGUGCUUCUUCUGUGCGUCUCGAAAUUUCACCAGCCCGAAGAAACUCGAUGUGUUUUCGUGUACGGCUGUCGGUCGAACUUCACAACGGAACAAGGAAGAGGAGAACGAUGAUCGUGUCGAGGAUGUGUUACCGGGACAAGCUUGCCCCGCCGUUCAACGUCGCAUUUCGUUCGUGUUAAGUGCAGCCAACAAAGUGAUCAUCAUCGUGGCUGGAAAGGCUCCAGCCCAGAUCGAAAUAAUCCCGUGCAAGGUGUGUGGCGACAAGAGCAGCGGUGUUCAUUAUGGCGUGAUCACCUGCGAGGGCUGCAAAGGCUUCUUCAGGCGGUCCCAGUCGUCGGUCGUCAACUAUCAAUGUCCGCGGAACAAGAAUUGCGUGGUCGACCGUGUAAACAGAAACCGGUGCCAGUACUGUCGGUUGCAAAAGUGCCUACGCCUCGGCAUGUCUAGAGAUGCCGUUAAAUUCGGGCGCAUGUCGAAGAAGCAGCGGGAGAAGGUCGAGGACGAAGUUAGGUUCCACAAGGCACAAAUGAGAGCGGCCUCCGAGACUGCGCCCGACAGCAGUGUGUUUGAACAUCAGACCCCAAGCAGUUCGGAUCAGCAUCAUCCUUUCAAUGGCGGGUAUACGUAUGGCGGUAGUGAAUACGCUUCCCCUGGCCCCGGCACGGGUGGGUCGGGUUAUUACAAUCAUCAAGCGAUGACGAACUACGAGCUUAGCGCCGACUACGUCGACAGCACGACGACCUACGAUCCACGACCGACGCAGACGCAGGUCGCGGACACUGUCGCCCCUGAUACGCCCUCCGCUGUCACAGCGGCUGGGGUACUUCCCAGCGUGGUCACCACCGAUCCGGCACAGAUCAGCGAGCUGCUCUCAAAAACGAUAGCGGAUGCACACGCAAGAACGUGUCUGCUGUCGACGGAACAGAUCCAGGAAUCUUUCCGGAAGCCGCACGACCUCUCCAGAUUGAUCUACUACAAGAACAUGGCGCACGAGCAGCUCUGGCUCGAGUGUGCCCAAAAACUAACCACCGUUAUCCAGCAGAUCAUCGAGUUCGCCAAGAUGGUUCCUGGAUUCAUGAAGCUCUCGCAGGACGACCAGAUUGUUCUAUUAAAGGCUGGUUCCUUCGAGUUGGCUGUGCUACGUAUGAGCAGGUACCUCGAUCUCCAGCAGAACUGUGUCCUCUAUGGUGACACUAUGUUGCCUCAGGACGCGUUUUACACGACAGAUACGGCGGAAAUGAAGCUUGUCUCUUGCGUGUUUGAGUUGGCCAGGAGUAUUGCCGAAUUGAAGCUUACGGAAACAGAGCUGGCUCUUUACAGUGCAGCGGUUCUCCUUAGCCCCGAUCGGCCGGGGUUGAAAGGGCUCGCGGAAAUCACGAGACUGUCCCAGGCGGUGAUCAGGGCGCUCAGGUCGGAGCUGGAUCGUAACCACGUGUCGCCCAUAAAGGGCGACGUGACGGUGUGCGACGCGAUCCUUGCCAAGAUACCACAGCUCCGCGAGAUCUCCCUGUUGCACAUGGACGCCCUGGCGAAGUUCAAACGGUCCCAGCCGCACCUCGAGUUCCCGGCCCUUCACAAAGAGCUUUUCAGCGUCGACAGCUGAACGAUCGACGCGGCGCAGGGCGUCCCGACGCUGACGAACAAAGCGGUACGCGAGUAGCGCCGGGCCUUGCUCUGUCAAGAUUAUUUCCUUCGUAAAGAACGUAUUGGGCCUUAAAUAAACAUAACAUUGUUAUAUAUAAAGUAUACAUAAAAAA